CGCGCAGGCGGGUUUGUCAGUCAGGGGUGAAAUCCUACAGCUUAACUGUAGAACUGCCUUUGAUACUGCAAACCUUGAGUUCGGAAGAGAGGGGCGGAAUUCCAGGUGUAGUGGUGAAAUACGUAGAUAUCUGGAAGAACACCAGAGGCGAAGGCGGUCUCUUGGUCCGUAACUGACGCUGAGGCGCGAAAGCGUGGGGAGCAAACAGGAUUAGAUACCCUGGUAGUCC
rnacentral:rRNA from 1 species